UACGUAGGGUGCAAGCGUUAAUCGGAAUUACUGGGCGUAAAGCGUGCGCAGGCGGUGAUGUAAGACAGAGGUGAAAUCCCCGGGCUCAACCUGGGAACUGCCUUUGUGACUGCAUCGCUGGAGUGCGGCAGAGGGGGAUGGAAUUCCGCGUGUAGCAGUGAAAUGCGUAGAUAUGCGGAGGAACACCGAUGGCGAAGGCAAUCCCCUGGGCCUGCACUGACGCUCAUGCACGAAAGCGUGGGGAGCAAACAGG
rnacentral:rRNA from 1 species